rnacentral:rRNA from 1 species
GUAGGUGGCAAGCGUUGUCCGGAAUUAUUGGGCGUAAAGCGCGCGCAGGCGGUUCUUUAAGUCUGAUGUGAAAGCCCACGGCUCAACCGUGGAGGGUCAUUGGAAACUGGAGAACUUGAGUACAGAAGAGGAAAGCGGAAUUCCACGCGUAGCGGUGAAAUGCGUAGAGAUGUGGAGGAACACCAGUGGCGAAGGCGGCUUUCUGGUCUGUAACUGACGCUGAGGCGCGAAAGCGUGGGGAGCAAACAGGGAUUAGAUACCCUGGUAGUCCACGCCGUAAACGAUGAGUGCUAAGUGUUAGGGGGGUUUCCGCCCCCCUUAGUGCUGCAGCUAACGCAUUAAGCACUCCGCCUGGGGAUACGGCCGCAAGGCUG